rnacentral:rRNA from 1 species
CGUAGGUGGCAAGCGUUGUCCGGAUUUAUUGGGUUUAAAGGGUGCGUAGGUGGUCUAUUAAGUCAGUGCUGAAAUAUCCCGGCUUAACCGGGAGGGUGGCAUUGAUACUGAUGGACUUGAGUAAAGUUGAGGUUGGCGGAAUUGACGGUGUAGCGGUGAAAUGCUUAGAUAUCGUCAAGAACACCUAUUGCGAAGGCAGCUAACUAAGCUUUAACUGACACUGAGGCACGAAAGUGUGGGGAUCAAACAGGAUUAGAUACCCUGGUAGUCCACACUGUAAACGUUGAUUACUCGCUGUUGGCGAUACACAGCCAGCGGCUUAGCGAAAGCGAUAAGUAAUCCACCUGGGGAGUACGCCGGCAACGGUG